rnacentral:rRNA from 1 species
UCCGACUCAGAGAGUUUGAUCAUGGCUCAGGACGAACGCUGGCGGCGUGCCUAACACAUGCAAGUCGAACAGGUCCAUGAGAGCUUGCUCUCAGAAGACCUAGUGGCGAACGGGUGAGUAACACGUGAGAAACCUGCCUCGGAGUGGGGAAUAACUCGGGGAAACUCGAGCUAAUACCGCAUAUCUUCACAUGAUCGCAUGGUCGAGUGAAGAAAGAAUUUCGCUCUGAGAGGGUCUCGCGGCCUAUCAGCUUGUUGUGGGGUAACGGCCCACCAAGGCAACGACGGGUAGCUGGUUUGAGAGAACGAUCAGCCACACUGGGACUGAGACACGGCCCAGACUCCUACGGGAGGCAGCAGUGGGGAAUCUUGCGCAAUGGGCGAAAGCCUGACGCAGCAACGCCGCGUGCGGGAUGACGGCCUUCGUGGUUGUAAACCGCUUUCAGCAGGGACGAAAAUGACGGUACCUGCAGAAGAAGCCCCGGCUAACUACGUG